AAACUAACUGGUGAAGCUUUCAAUGAGUGCUGAGAGUCCCUUCUGGAGAAGGAGCUGGGAAUAGAGCCUGCAAGUAGCUCUGUGGGAGGGUCAGGAAGAAGCCUAAGAGGAGAUGACAAAGAAGACAUCCAACCAAAAUUGGCAACCAAAGGGUAAAACCCUGGAACUAAGGGAAAGGAGUGAGAGGGGAUUUGGGGCCUGAGAAGGCUGAAGGAUGGCUUAGCCCCUUUGAAAGAAGAUUGUGGCCCAGGUGGGGCAGAAGACUAUAUUCUGUUCCAUUUGGACUUCAUAUUACCCUGGAAAAGGAAAGCGUUACAAGUUUUGGCUGGAGGGAUUAACCACAUUAAAUGCCCAACUACACAAGAACAAGGGGAAACUGAGGCACGCCAUAUCCCACUGCUGGAAAGGGUAGGACUAAAUUGUGACCAGACGAGAAGGCCAACUCCCCAGAAGAGAUGGACGGGAUUGACUGCUGGAAAGAACUGCUAUGCCACACCCAGUGGUGAGGAGGUGAGUCCACUCUUCCAUAUGGCA